AUAAUCUGAUACAAAUCACUGGUAUCAACAUCUCUACAGUUUGCUACCCAAAUGGUACUGGAUUCCAGUGCAGAUGUGAGGACCAAUAUCGUUGGUCAUGUGACCAAUGUGUCUCUUAUGGGAAAUGUGAUGACAUCACAUCUGACACGUGUGGAUGUAUCAAUGCAAUUCCUCCAGAUGGACAGUACUGCCAGUUGGUUCACAACCAAAACUUUACCGCAUGUCCAACAACAACAGCCUCUCCUACAACAG